AGGUUACGCUGGGACACUUUAUUAUCGCACCCAUUCUGGAGGAAAGCAUUUUCAGAGACAAGCAUCACUAUGGGAAAAGAGCAGGUUGAUGUCUCAAUGGUAUCCAGCCUGCAUUUGGCCUCUGUGUCUUCUCAGACAGCCGAGGAAGCCCAGACAGCACCUCCUGACCCUCGCAGCCCAAAACUCAGCAAGUCUUUCACAUUAGAUAACGUCAUAGAGUUAAGACCAAUGUCUGCACUGGACAUUUUCCUCCUCAGGA